rnacentral:rRNA from 1 species
UACACAUGCAGUCGAACGGUAACAGGAAGCAGCUUGCUGCUUCGCUGACGAGUGGCGGACGGGUGAGUAAUGUCUGGGAAACUGCCUGAUGGAGGGGGAUAACUACUGGAAACGGUAGCUAAUACCGCAUAACGUCGCAAGACCAAAGAGGGGGACCUUCGGGCCUCUUGCCAUCGGAUGUGCCCAGAUGGGAUUAGCUAGUAGGUGGGGUAACGGCUCACCUAGGCGACGAUCCCUAGCUGGUCUGAGAGGAUGACCAGCCACACUGGAACUGAGACACGGUCCAGACUCCUACGGGAGGCAGCAGUGGGGAAUAUUGCACAAUGGGCGCAAGCCUGAUGCAGCCAUGCCGCGUGUAUGAAGAAGGCCUUCGGGUUGUAAAGUACUUUCAGCGGGGAGGAAGGCGAUAAGGUUAAUAACCUUGUCGAUUGACGUUACCCGCAGAAGAAGCACCGGCUAACUCCGUGCCAGCAGCCGCGGUAAUACGGAGGGUGCAAGCGUUAAUCGGAAUUACUGGGCGUAAAGCG